UGUAGCUUUGUGAGCUCUCAGUCUUGUAAUGUCCAUUUGAAUGUGUGGAUUGAUUAUUGGGUGUGUACUAUGUGAUAGUGUGCUUUUGGGAAGAGGAUGUCUGAAGGGGAAAAAAUGGUUCCUUCUAGGCAGAGAGGAACGAAGUGAGAAGAGCUAGGGUUGGCGGUGGCGGCGGUGAAGACCCUGGAUGGCAGAGUGCCAU
rnacentral:lncRNA from 1 species